rnacentral:rRNA from 1 species
UGCGCAGGCGGCUUAUUAAGUCAGUGGUGAAAUCUCUCGGCUCAACCGAGAAACUGCCAUUGAAACUGAUAAGCUUGAGUGUGGUUGUGGUAGGCGGAAUAUAGCAUGUAGCGGUGAAAUGCUUAGAUAUGCUAUAGAACACCGAUCGCGAAGGCAGCUUACCAAACCAUUACUGACGCUCAUGCACGAAAGCGUGGGGAGCAAACAGGAUUAGAUACCCUGGUAGUC